rnacentral:antisense_RNA from 1 species
CUUGAUCGACCCCAGCCACAACGGCCGGCCGGCGGGCCGGUCCUGUCCGUAGGUGGCCAGGAUCGCUUGGGCCUC